ACAACUUGCAUUUUGUGUUAGUUUCUUAUUUACAACUUCUACUCAUCUUACUAAUAAUGUGGAAGCAUUAAUCUGAAGUUAUGUUGAUAUCAUAGAUAAGUUCUCCAUAUCUUAAUUGUAUAACAUAUGGGUUUUAUUUAUUGAAAUCAAAGUACCACUCUUGGCCCAUUCUCUCCCCCUUUUCACUCUCCUCUUCCUUCAAAGGUUCAUUGUGAUACUACUUCGUUAAGAGGAUAUCACUGACUCACUAUAUUGGAAAAAGGGACCAAAAAACAUGUAUACAUGAGUAGACUCCUACUACAACAACAAUCAAGCCUUUAUCCCACUAGGUGGAGUCGGCUACAUGUUUCUUGACAAAUCAUUGAUCUCUAAGUCUUUCUUAAUCAUUUCUCCGAUGAUUCUUCUUGGUCUCCCUCUUCCUCUAGGAAUUGGACUAGCCUCCACUUGAUCUACUGUCCUUAUAGGAGCUUUGUCGGACACGGGCAGACUAUUGAAUCUAGAAAUUCAAGUAAAGGAGGAACUUGAAGUAGAUUUUCUAAACCAUGUACUUGAUUUAUCAGAUCUUUUAGCUCCCAUUACCUCAAAAGAUAAUGAUAGCCUCCGAUUUUUGUUGUUACGAAAUUUUCAAGAUUACCGUGUAUAAUACACAUUUAUCUACUUUAUCAUUCAAUGGUAAUAGGCUGUAACUUUAUCAUCUGACACUGAAAUGUUUUUCUUCUUUAUAGGUUGUUUUCUGCAUUACUUGUAACCUAAAGGUUUAGAUGCUAAAAUGGCAACUUGUAAAAAAUUGAGGACCAGAAUCUUUGCUAGUUAGGUUUAGGAUUAGUUUUCCUGAGAGAAAAAGGUAGCUUAGAAUUAAAAAUAUUCCUUUUUCAUUAUGCUGCUGUUUGAUGUUUUUAUCAUUACUGCUAAAUCCUCCCCUGGAAUACAGUCAUGUGGAUUUAUGUUCCUUUAUUAGCCCUCUGAAAGAAUUUUGCUUUGAAACAACCAUAGACAGUGCAUGUGAAAUUGAGUGUUUCUAUGUAGUACAUCUAUGAUGUAAAGUAACAUGACCAAACCUUUCUUUUUCGUAAAAAAAUCAGGACAAAGGGAGAAUUGCAAGGACAGGCGACUUAUCUCUGGAAGCAGUUAUUGAGGAUGACGGAUAUGAAACCGUCUCUGCUUUAACUUUGUGCAGCUAGUAUUGGUAUCCUCUCUGACUGUUGAAAAAUUGUUUUGUGCAAGAUUCAAUUUAAAGUAACUUCUUGUUUGUUUCAUGUUGUGGAUAUUUGCUUGACUUUUACAUAUAAAAUCGUGAUUGGGAAUUUAUAAUAACAUAUAAAUAAGUUGAAUGAUGAGUAAAAUUUUCUUUAAGCUACUAAUGACAGACCUCUUCUGCUUUGAUUUCAGUAUGUUUGCUACAAAUGUAGAUGACAGAGUAUUGCACUGGGCUGCAUUUAGUAGUUGCAUCUUUUGGAACUUUCUUCCUUAUGUUCAACUUUGGAAAUUGAUUGCUUCACCCCUGGAAAAUGUCGUUCAACGUUAUCUAUGUAAACUUGAUAUAGUUGCAUUUUUUGCAAGAAUAACAGUUAUUGACCCUAAGCCCGAUAAAGUGUUAUUUAUAUUUUAUAUACACUCAUACUUGAUAAUGGUUAAUAUUACUGAAUUCAUACUGUGUCCUCUAAUUUUUUAGCAUAGAGCUUGCAAUGUUGAGAAUAUGGUGUGGCACUUGUCAACUAAAUAUUUAAUCUUUUAUUUAUCAGCCUAAUAUUUUAUAGGUUCAAACUGGAGUUUCUGCAUCAACAUCACUACCGAUAAUAGCAGAUUUUUUCUUCAGGAUAGAUUCUUGAGUUCAGCCUGCACUACCUGGUAAUAUUCAUUCAUUUGAGUUUCAAAAGGCUUCGUUCCAAAUUUUAAGCAAUGCAUUUGCUGAGAUAUUGUUAUUCCAAAACAUUAGAGCAUAUGCACCCGUGAACAAGAAAAUUGUUCUUAAAUGGGUCUAACUGCUAAUUUUAUAAUUGUUAACACUUCCCUACAGUUUAAGCAACUCAAGCAAAAAUUACUCCAGCCAUGAACUUUUACCUAUCGUUAUUAAAUGGACCUCACACUCUAUUUUUUCUUUACUUUUCUUCUAUACUUUUAUUAAGAACAAGUUGUGAAAUAAGAACACAUAAGGACUUUUCUCAUAGUGGUAAACAACAUGAUGAACAUUCUUAAAAACUUAAGAACCCAUGGGUGUGGGUGCUCUUACAGUUUUUACAUUGUUUCUUACUACAGAUUGUUUAAUUGCUAAUGGUUGGGUAUAAUAUAUUUGACUAAGCUGAAUGAAGCAAAUAGUAGUUAGGUCCUUCAAACAUUGCUUCAUGUUAUCAAGCAGCUUACUGCCAAGUUAGGCUGAGUCAUUUGUUUAAGAAAAAUUGUCAAAUUGUUAGUGUCACCUUGGUGUAAGACCUUUUCCAGGCCUCUCAAUUUGUGGGCAUGUUCUAAUUGUGUACAAGCUUUGGUCUAUAUUUUAAACCUUAUAGAUUAUUUUGAGAUUGGGUAGGAAAGUAUUAAUGUAUUGUACAUUUUGAUUAAUUUAUCAUUACUUGAUAAAGCAAAGCUUUCUAAAAUGUGAGUAUUUUGUGUUGCAGAUAAGUGUGUUAUGGUAAAGCUGUUGCACUAAUCAUUCUGAUGUCUCCUUUCAAUUUUAUUUCCCAAUUCUCUUAGCUGCAUUUUGAAAAUGUAGAAGCAGCAAAUGCAGAUAUUGAUGUUUCAUCACUUGGGACAUAUUCUUCCAGGCAUUUUUACAGUAGGCUUUGAUAGCAAAAUACAUAACUGUAGCAUGCAGAUUCUCAAGUUUUUAGCUUGUGUUUCUUUUUAUUUAUAUAUAUUAAGGAUUUUUUCAGUGCUAAUUAUCAC
rnacentral:lncRNA from 1 species